GGAUGUGAGGGCGAUCUGGCUGCAACAUCUGACACCCCAUUGAUCGCCAGGGUUGGUUCGGUUGAUCUGGCUGGCUAGGCAGGUGUCCCGUUCCUCCCUCACCGCUCCAUGUGUGUCCCUCCCGAAGCUGCGUGCUCAGUUGAAGAGGAAGGCCAUCCCCGAAUAGAGAUGGACCGGUCUUCAGUUGAGGGUAUAUGAGUAGCUGUGCUCCCCUGCUAGAAUCUCCAAACAAGCUCUCAAAUAAGCUAUGUUUUGUUCUCCAUUUCUCGUGAACUGAAUAUCCACAUAUGAUUCUAAUUGAGCAAAAAGGUUCCUAUUGU
ensembl:misc_RNA 7SK 7SK RNA